GACGAACGCUGGCGGCGUGCUUAACACAUGCAAGUCGAACGGAAAGGCCUGCUUUCCCCUGUGGAUUGCGGGUACUCGAGUGGCGAACGGGUGAGUAACACGUGAGUGAUCUGCCCCCAACUUGGGUAUAAGCCUGGGAAACUGGGUCUAAUUCCCGAUAGGACUGCAGGGUGGUGCCUGUGGUGGAAAACGAUUUUCUAGUGGUUGGGGAUGAGCUCGCGGCCUAUCAGCUUGUUGGUGGGGUAAUGGCCUACCAAGGCGGCGACGGGUAGCCGGCCUGAGAGGGUGGACGGCCACAUUGGGACUGGGAUACGGCCCCGACUCCUACGGGAGGCAGCAGUGGGGAAUAUUGCACAAUGGGCGGAAGCCUGAUGCAGCGACGCCGCGUGGGGGAUGACGGCCUUCGGGUUGUAAACUCCUUUCGACCGCGAGGAAGCCACCUGGUUGGAAGGGUGGUGACGGUAGUGGUAGAAGAAGCACCGGCUAACUACGUG
rnacentral:rRNA from 1 species